GAUGAAGAACGUAGCAAAAUGCGAUACUUGGUGUGAAUUGCAGAAUCCCGUGAACCAUCGAGUUUUUGAACGCAAGUUGCGCCCGAAGCCUUUUGGCCGAGGGCACGUCUGCCUGGGCGUCACGCAUCGCGUCGCCCCCCACAAUUCUCCGUAAAGGGAACGUGUGUUUUGGGGGCGGAUAUUGGUCUCCCGUGCUCAUGGCGUGGUUGGUCGAAAUAGGAGUCCUUUCGAUGGACGCACGAACUAGUGGUGGUCGUAAAAACCCUCGUCUUUUGUUUCGUGCUGUUGCUCGCAAGGUAAACUCUUUAAAAACCCCAAUGUGUCGUCUCUUGACGACGCUUCGACCGCGACCCCAGGUCAGGCGGGACUACCCGCUGAGUUUAAGCAUAUCAAUAAGCGGAGGA
rnacentral:misc_RNA from 1 species